rnacentral:rRNA from 1 species
UACAGAGGGUGCGAGCGUUAAUCGGAAUUACUGGGCGUAAAGCGCGCGUAGGUGGCAAUGCAAGUCGGGUGUGAAAUCCCCGGGCUCAACCUGGGAACUGCAUUCGAGACUGCGUUGCUUGAGUAUGGGAGAGGGAAGUGGAAUUUCCGGUGUAGCGGUGAAAUGCGUAGAUAUCGGAAGGAACAUCAGUGGCGAAAGCGACUUCCUGGACCAAUACUGACACUCAAGU